rnacentral:rRNA from 1 species
AAAUUAAGCAUAUCAAUAAGCGGAGGAAAAGAAACUAACAAGGAUUCCCCUAGUAACUGCGAGUGAAGCGGGAAAAGCUCAAAUUUAAAAUCUGACAGUCUUUGGCUGUCCGAGUUGUAAUCUAGAGAAGUGCUAUCCGCGCUGGACCGUGUACAAGUCUCCUGGAAUGGAGCGUCAUAGAGGGUGAGAAUCCCGUCUCUGACACGGACUACCAGGGCUUUUGUGAUGCGCUCUCAAAGAGUCGAGUUGUUUGGGAAUGCAGCUCUAAAUGGGUGGUAAAUUCCAUCUAAAGCUAAAUAUUGGCGAGAGACCGAUAGCGAACAAGUACCGUGAGGGAAAGAUGAAAAGAACUUUGGAAAGAGAGUUAAACAGUACGUGAAAUUGUUGAAAGGGAAACGCUUGAAGUCAGUCGCAUUGGCCAGGGAUCAACCUUGCUCUUUUGCUUGGUGUACUUUCUGGUUGAUGGGUCAGCAUCAAUUUUGACUGGUGGAAAAAGGUCAGGGGAAUGUGGCAUCUUUGGAUGUGUUAUAGCCCUUGAUUGUAUACAUCGGUUGGGAUUGAGGAACUCAGCAUGCCGCAAGGCCGGGUUUUUAACCACGUACAUGCUUAGGAUGCUGGCAUAAUGGCUUUAAUCGACCCGUCUUGAAACACGGACCAAGGAGUCUAACAUGCCUGCGAGUAUUUGGGUGGAAAACCCAUGUGCGCAAUGAAAGUGAAGAUCAGGAUCUCUGUCAUGGAGAGCACUGAUGCCCGGACCAGACCUUUUGUGACGGAUCUGCGGUAGAGCAAGCAUGUUGGGACCCGAAAGAUGGUGAACUAUGCCUGAAUAGGGUGAAGCCAGAGGAAACUCUGGUGGAGGCUCGUAGCGAUUCUGACGUGCAAAUCGAUCGUCAAAUUUGGGUAUAGGGGCGAAAGACUAAUCG